CGACGUCAAACGUCUCUGUUUCUUACUCUCCAGCGAAGUCGAGUUUUCACUGCAGUUCCGGUGACAAACUACCUCUAAAUGGCGAUGGACGACUUUCAGCUUCGAAGAGAUCCAGCCAUCAGGUAAUGAGACCGAAUGAUGCUGAGACCUGAAAAAUGAUAAGCUUCAAACAUCGAUGUACAAUGUCCGGACGAAUUUCAUCUCCAAAGACAUCUAGCCAUCAAGUGAUGAAACCUAAUGAUGUUGAGACCUGAAAAAUGAUUAGCUUCAAACAUCGGAGUACAGAUGUGGUGAAUGAACUGUUCUCUUCCUUAAAAAAGGACGACUUUCAUCUCCAAAGACAUCUAGCCAUCAAGUGAUGAGACCUAAUGAUGCUGACACCUGAAAAAUAAUAAGCUUCAAACACGGACAUACAGAUAUGCUGAAUGAACUGUUCUCUCCCUUAAAAAAAAGGUGGACUUUCAUCUCCGAAGACAUCUAGCCAUCAGUUGAUGAGACCUUAUGAUGCUGAGACAGCACCUAAAAAUUGAUAAGCUUCAAACAUCGAUGUAUCUGGUAGAUCUCAACUGUUCUCUCCCUUUAAAAAAGGUCGACUUUCAUCUCUGAAGAUAUCUAGCCAUCAAGUGAUGAGACCUAAUGAUGCUGAGACAACACCUGAAAAAUGAUAAGCUUCAAACAUUGGUGAGCAGUAUCUGGUAAUUCAACUGUUCUCGCCUUUAGAAAAAGCUCUCAUCUCCAAGAGAUCCAGCCAUCAAGUGAUGAGACCUAAUGAUGCCGAGACCUGCAAAAGCUUAGCUUCAAACAUCGAUGGACAGUAUCGGGUAAAUGAACUGCCUUCUCCCUUAAAACAGGUGUGCCAUCUGUUGAUGAUACCAAGCUGUUGACGAGAAAGGGAUUUCACCAGUCUACCAGCUCUGUGAGGUUUACUACGGAACAGAGGUAUAUUCAAAACCUGUGGGUUUCAUUACCCAUGUUUUACACUAACAUCAAAAAGUGGGCUGUUUUUGCAGCACUAUACAAGCGCCACCCCUACGCCACAUGCCACAACAUUCUGGGGACUUCAUGCAGGCACCAGCCUAACCCAGAUGAAUGGUUGACCCUACAGAUUAAUUACAGACAUGAACAUUGAAAACAUGUUUUUAUUAACACCAUUUGUUUUAUAUAAAAGUCAUCGUUUAAAAUUCCAUUUAUUAAAUUAUUGAACUAUUCCAUGUAACUAGUAUUAAAGGCAGUGGACACUAUUGGUAAUUACUCAAAAUAAUUAUUAGCAUAAGAUCGUUCUUGGUGACGAG